GACGAACGCUGGCGGCGCGCCUAACACAUGCAAGUCGAACGGAGUCAAGAGGAGCUUGCUUUUCUUGACUUAGUGGCGAACGGGUGAGUAACGCGUGAGUAACCUGCCCUGGAGUGGGGGACAACAGUUGGAAACGACUGCUAAUACCGCAUAAGCCCACGGAUCCGCAUGGAUCUGCGGGAAAAGGAUUUAUUCGCUUCAGGAUGGACUCGCGUCCAAUUAGCUAGUUGGUGAGGUAACGGCCCACCAAGGCGACGAUUGGUAGCCGGACUGAGAGGUUGAACGGCCACAGUGGGACUGAGACACGGCCCAGACUCCUACGGGAGGCAGCAGUGGGGGAUAUUGCACAAUGGGGGAAACCCUGAUGCAGCGACGCCGCGUGGAGGAAGAAGGUUUUCGGAUUGUAAACUCCUGUCGUUAGGGACGAUAAUGACGGUACCUAACAAGAAAGCACCGGCUAACUACGUG
rnacentral:rRNA from 1 species